AAGAGAGGCCACCUUCUGUCCUCCGCUGAGGAUUUGAGUCCUUUUGCCCUUGGUGAGAACACCAAAGAGGACCGCCGGAAUGUCACCAAAUAUCUAUUGAGUGCUUGCUCUGUGAUCUGGCAGACAACUCAAAGGCACAGAGAUGAAGAUGAAACACACCAUGGAGCCAGGGAAGGGCCUGGAUGCUGUGGGAAACACUACAACAGAUAAGAUCCAACAAAUAUAUUAAGAGGCUGCGAUGACCAGACCAUUUAUGGAUACAAGAUAAAUGACAGACAUAGCACUACCACUACAGAUUGCAGGAAGAAGGUCUUUUCAAGAAGUGGUGCCAGAACAAUCUGGAAAUAAAAGAUUUAUACUUCCCAUUAAACACAAACAUCAAUUCUAGGUGAAUAAUAUGGACUUAAAGGUCUGUUUAGCGUUGAAAGACUAACCUCUAAAACUUUCAGAGGAUAGCCCAUCUUCACGCGUUAGAGUAGGAAAGGUUUUCUAAACAAAUCACAAAACCGUAAGGGAAAAAAAUAACUACACUAAGCCUCAAGAACUUCUAUUCACCAAAAGACAAGCCAGAGUAAUAGAUCUGCAAUACAUGUAUCCAUAGUAUAUAAUGGCCACAAAUCCAUAAGAAAGAUGACUUAAAAAGGCAAGAAUGUUGACCAGCACUUCACAAAAGAUGGUGUCCAAAUGGCUAGUAGCAUGUGGAAGGAGAAUCAGCAUCAUUAGGGAAAUCAAAAUCAUAAUGAAACAUGACAGCCCCCCCAGAAUGGCUAUGAUUAAAGAGGGACAAAUUGUUUAUGAGGCUGCAAAGAAAUGAUAACUCUCAUACACUGCUGAAUGGGAGUAUAAAUUGGUACAAUUUGAAAACUGCUUUGAAGCUAACCUAAUAGGUAUUUCCCUAAUAAAAACAGGAGCAUCUAUACACCAAAACACAUGUACAAGAAUAUUCAUGACAUCAUUAUUCAUAAUAGUACCAAACUAUAAACAACCCAAAUGUCCACCCACAGUAAAACGGAUGAUUCAGUUAGUCUGUUCAUGCAAUGAGAAUACUAGAGUAACUGAUUCGGUAAUAAAAAAUGGAUCAUCUACAACAUGGAUGAAUCUCAAAUGUAAUGUUGAAUGACAGAGGUCAGAAAGGAAAGGGAAAACAUACUAGAUAACUCUACAUGAAGUUCAAGGACAAGCAACACUAUCUCUGGAAAUAGAACUCGGAACUACGAUUCCUUGCGGAACACUGAAGAGGGCAUGAAAGAACCAUCUAUGGUACUAUAAAUGUUCUGCGUCUAGACCUGGGCUACAUGGACAUGUGCCUUCAUCAAGCUGUACACUUAAGAUUUAUGCAUUUGACUGUAAUACAUUAAUUGAAACCACCAGAACACCCUAUAAAAACCAAAAACCAGAAAAAUGAUGCACAGGUACCUGGGUUUCUGUACUAAUAUUGCACCCUGAAUUUUGAGAAAUAUUUAUAAGCACCUACUAACUUCAUGAGGAAAAUACCUUUGUCCAAGUGAUCAACUGUUAAAUUUAUAUCCCUCUACCUAUCAAUGAUAUAUUAAUCUGUUUUUUAAAAAAAGGCAGAAAAAGACAAAAAAUGGAAAAGUAAAAUGGGCAAGAGAUUUCUUACUUUUUCCUUCGCACUUUCUGGUAUUUCCCAGUUUUUCUAAAACUAGCAUAUACUAUUUUAAAAUUAUAGGUCAAUAAUAAUACAUGAAUGUGCUUUCCUUGUAAGAAAUUAAGACAUUCCAGAUAAGGCUAAAAAGUCCCUGUUGACCUCUAAUCCUGGAUUCCUCCCUCAUACCUAGAGAAAAUGUCUGUUAAAUAUUGGUAUGCUUUUUUUUUUCUAGAUCUUUUUCAAUGCAGAGUUAUUUGUGGUUUAUAUCUAUGGCAUCAUGUGUGUCUUGUCCUAAAACUUUUUAAAGCUCAAUAUUGUAUCUUUCACUAUUUUUUAUCUUGGUAUGUGCAAAACUACUUUAUCAGCUUAUUCUUUUUACCUGCUUCAGAGUUUUCCAUGAGAAUGGACAUUCCACAGUUUAUACAGCCUUUCCUCUAUGAUGGCCAUUAGGCAUCUUUCCUUUUUUUUUUUGGCAAUUAGUAGUCUUCUUUCAUUGAGAAGAAUUGGUAUGUCAUUUAAAAAUUUAAUUCUAGCUUCCUAAACUAAAAAAACUCCAGAAAGCUCAUGCCUCAUUCUAAUCUCAGAAAGCACUGUCUAGGCUUGGAGAUCUCCCCAGCUGUCUAAGUAGAAAGCAGAAUGAGGACUUCAGUGAGCCUAAUCCCUGCUCUGUGUUCCCCAUCCUUCCCCGACCCCUAGCCCCCAAGGACUGGGAUCAAUAUUGGAAACCUGUGCUUUAGUUCUUCCACCUCUGCUGCUGCUAUGCUGUGUGACCUCAGGCUUCUCCUUUCCCCUCCCGUCUAUUCUCCAAGCACCUAUUGCCUCCAAGAUGGGCUCUAGACUGUAAGAGCCUUGUCCUUCACUCUCCCAGUAGCCCCCAGGCCUUUGAAAACAGCCAGGCAGACCCCCUCACCUGCUGCUCACAUGGCAUCCUGUGGUGGCCCACGAAGCCCCAGUGACCUGCUGCCUGGCUGCCUCCCUCCACGGCUCUAACCUCUGUCCCCUUGGCACCAGCUCACUAUGAGGUCCUCCCUAUUCCUUAAGACCAAGCUCCAGCCUCUUCAAAAACAGCACAUCUCUCUCUGACACAGCCACUCUCCCUUUAUCCUGUGUAUUCCUUCACAGCUCCCCUCCCCAUCUGCAACCACACUCUGAUUGUUACGACUUUGCUCGUUCCCCUCUCUGGAAUAAAAAUGGUAAAACUCUGUCUCUUAUUCAUGACCAUUUAUCCACAACCUAGAACUGCUCCUGGCAAUGAAGAGGCUCGCCACGCCUCUUGCUGAAUGAGUGGAUGGAUGGCUGGAUGCUAAAAGAGAUUCCCACUAGGUUCUGAGAAUGAGGCAUCCCAGAGUAACAUCCUGUUUCCUUCUCCGUUACCUCGACACCUGUAGGACUGGGCCGACUGGGAGCACCAUGUGGAGAACAGAGACAAACUGGAGUGCCUUGGGGAGGAAGGAGGAGAGCACAGUCUCUGAGUCAGCCAUGAGGCAGAGCAAAUACAAGUGGUCAUGCAGGAAGAAGAGUGCUGGUUCUGCGGGGUCCUAAGAGGGAGAUGUACGGGGGGUGUGCUUUGUUCAAUAUGACAACACUACCAAUGGUUUAGUUCUUACUGCAUGAGCUUUACAUGUGGUGUAUCUUUCUGGCCUUGAAACUAUCCUGCAGGGUAAAACAACUGUCCCCCAUCAUAAGAAAUGAAGGUAACAGUGCAUGUUCUCCCCUCAGCCUGGGACAGCUUCACCAGGCAAAUUCCUGCUCAUUCUCCAGGCCAUCUCCCCAGAGAAGUCCUUCCUCAACCUCAAGAACACAUCGAGUUCUCUGUCUUCUGUUCCCACAGGACCCUGCAGUCACCCCUCCUAGCUCUUGCUGUAACAGUAGACACAUGAUUUCGGUGUAAAUAUGGACAGGACAGGAGGCAGGGCUGGACACUGCUACAUGCCCCAGAACAGUGCCUGUCCUAUGAUAUCCAAGGAAUAAUUAUCUAAUGAGUGAGAUGGAGCAGGGAACCCUCUUAGGGGCCCUGCAGCACCGCCCCCGCCAAGCAUGGAAAUAAAAUCUUGAGUUUCUUCAAGGGAAAUUCCAGGCACCUAGCUAGCCCUGAGAAGUAAAUAAGCAAGCUGAUAAGCAAGAAGGUAAUAGUAACUAACUUAAAACAACAGCCAAGGAAGCUAGAAUCAUGGGAUGUUUGAUUCCCUACAGAAAUUAAAGAUAACAUCUUCACAUAUGAACCAGAGUUCUUUUUCAGAAACCUGGACCCACACCAAACAGAUGUGCUGGCAUGCAUGCAGACCUCAGAUAAGAGGGAACUGCAGGCCGAACUCUGACCGCAGUUCCAGUUCUUUGUUCUAAACUUAUUCUUAGGAGGCCUGGAAGAAGCCAUACCCACAAGCUGGAGCUAACAUUCUUUUCUGCUGACCCUAAAUUUUAAAACAAAGCUUCUCUUCCUUACCCAAUUGCAAAGCAGAAACUCUCUGAAAUCUACCUAUGACUAUAAGCCCCCACCCACUUCAAGACGAUAGCCUGCCCCUUUGGGCUAAACCAAUGUGUAACCUCCAUACAAUGACUUAUAACUUUGCCUGAAACUUCUGCUUUCCUGAAAUUUACCCCUGCCUUUAAAAACCCUUGUUUGCAAGCCAUUGGAGAGGUGGGGUGUUAAGAGAGAACUGCUCAGUUCUCCUUGCUUGGUACUCUGAAAAUAAACACCCUCCUUUCUCCUGCAGUAAACCUCAGCGUGGAUGUUUGUUUUUACUGUGCCA
rnacentral:lncRNA from 10 species